rnacentral:rRNA from 1 species
UGAUGUGUAGGAUAGGUGGGAGGCUUUGAAGCGUGGACGCCAGUCUGCGUGGAGCCGACCUUGAAAUACCACCCUUUAAUGUUUGAUGUUCUAACGUGGAUCCGUAAUCCGGGUUGCGGACAGUGUCUGGUGGGUAGUUUGACUGGGGCGGUCUCCUCCUAAAGAGUAACGGAGGAGCACGAAGGUUGGCUAAUCCUGGUCGGACAUCAGGAGGUUAGUGCAAUGGCAUAAGCCAGCUUGACUGCGAGCGUGACGGCGCGAGCAGGUGCGAAAGCAGGUCAUAGUGAUCCGGUGGUUCUGAAUGGAAGGGCCAUCGCUCAACGGAUAAAAGGUACUCCGGGGAUAACAGGCUGAUACCGCCCAAGAGUUCAUAUCGACGGCGGUGUUUGGCACCUCGAUGUCGGCUCAUCACAUCCUGGGGCUGAAGUAGGUCCCAAGGGUAUGGCUGUUCGCCAUUUAAAGUGGUACGCGAGCUGGGUUUAGAACGUCGUGAGACAGUUCGGUCCCUAUCUGCCGUGGGCGCUGGAGAACUGAGGGGGGCUGCUCCUAGUACGAGAGGACCGGAGUGGACGCAUCACUGGUGUUCGGGUUGUCAUGCCAAUGGCACUGCCCGGUAGCUAAAUGCGGAAGAGAUAAGUGCUGAAAGCAUCUAAGCACGAAACUUGCCCCGAGAUGAGUUCUCCCUGAGACUUAGAGUCUCCUGAAGGAACGUUGAAGACGACGACGUUGAUAGGCCGGGUGUGUAAGCGCAGCGAUGCGUUGAGCUAACCGGUACUAAUGAACCGUGAGGCUUAACCUUACAACGCCGAAG